GACGAACGCUGGCGGCGUGCUUAACACAUGCAAGUCGAGCGGUAAGGCCCUUCGGGGUACACGAGCGGCGAACGGGUGAGUAACACGUGAGCAACCUGCCCCCGACUCCGGGAUAAGCGGUGGAAACGCCGUCUAAUACCGGAUACGACCGGCCACCUCAUGGUAGCCGGUGGAAAGUUUUUCGGUUGGGGAUGGGCUCGCGGCCUAUCAGCUUGUUGGUGGGGUAAAGGCCUACCAAGGCGAUUACGGGUAGCCGGCCUGAGAGGGCGACCGGCCACACUGGGACUGAGACACGGCCCAGACUCCUGCGGGAGGCAGCAGUGGGGAAUAUUGCGCAAUGGGCGAAAGCCUGACGCAGCGACGCCGCGUGGGGGAUGACGGCCUUCGGGUUGUAAACCUCUUUUACCACCAACGCAGGCUCCCAGUUCUCUGGGGGUUGACGGUAGGUGGGGAAUAAGGACCGGCUAACUACGUGCCAGCAGCCGCGGUAAUACGUAGGGUCCGAGCGUUGUCCGGAAUUAUUGGGCGUAAAGAGCUCGUAGGCGGCGUGUCGCGUCUGCUGUGAAAGACCGGGGCUUAACUCCGGUUCUGCAGUGGAUACGGGCAUGCUAGAGGUAGGUAGGGGAGACUGGAAUUCCUGGUGUAGCGGUGAAAUGCGCAGAUAUCAGAGGAACACCGGUGGCGAAGGCGGGUCUCUGGGCCUUACCUGACGCUGAGGAGCGAAAGCAUGGGGAGCGAACAGGAUUAGAUACCCUGGUAGUCCAUGCCGUAAACGUUGGGCGCUAGGUGUGGGGACUUUCCACGGUUUCCGCGCCGUAGCUAACGCAUUAAGCGCCCCGCCUGGGGAGUACGGCCGCAAGGCUAAAACUCAAAGGAAUUGACGGGGGCCCGCACAAGCGGCUGAGCAUGUUGCUUAAUUCGACGCAACGCGAAAACCUUACCAAAGUUUGACAUCACCCGUGACUGCAAAAAUGUGGGGUCAUUUAUGGUGGGGUGACAAGUGGUGCAUGGCUGUCGUCACUCGGUGUCUGGAAAUGUUGGGGU
rnacentral:rRNA from 1 species